rnacentral:misc_RNA from 1 species
AAAGUUCUAAACUCUAAUUAUUAGGGUCAUUCUUAAAAAGUUGAUUUCCAACCCUCCAAAACAAAGGCACAAUCUAUAUAUUACCAGAAUCUACGAAGUUAAAAGGUGCCAAAACCAAUCAAGAUUCAUGCACAGGACUGGGAAAGCACAUAAACAAUAACCCUCUCUAUUCUCUCAUUGCUUCCCACAAAAUCUAUCGAACGAGAAAAGUUAUCAGAAAAGUUUCUGAAUCAAGUACAGACAAAAACCAUGAACCAUUUUCGUAUAGCAUUUGGGUUAAGCUGUAUCAAGAAGAAAUGGUGCCAACAUCUCCAAUUCAAGAGUGGAGAGGCAACAUAAACUUCAUUUGGAUCCCAUGCAUUAUCUUUAAUGCCAGCUUCGAAUUGAUGCACUUUGCAACAUCUUUGUAGAAGGCAUUGAUCUCCUCCUCUGUAAGGCCACCCUCAUCAGCAUUUUCCUCCCAGCCCAUAGAACGCAAAAGUGCAGCCUCUUCCUCGUCUGAACACAACAUUGCAUCACAAGUUGAAAAGCUCUUGUCAGUAUUCUUUCCGUCGAAAGAGUCACUGUUGCAUGUAUUUUCACCCAAGACCUCAGUUGAUUGCUCCACCCUUGGGGUCUCAUCAGAUAGUGAAGCAUCUUGAUCCUGAGGGAUGCCAUGUGCAUUAGAUUUCUUUCUCAUACGAUCAAAGAAAUCAUUCCGACUCUGAGCUUGGGAUGAUAGUUUCUUUUGCACCAUUGUCCCAACAGGCUUGGGUUCAAAGGUAGAGGGAGCUGCAAUAUUUCCUGGACUGUGUGUAGAAGCAGACACAGGAACGGCCAAAUGCGCAUUUGGACCUCUGCUGUGUAUAUUUGGGCUCAGGCUACUGUUAACAACAGAAGAAACACCAUUCCUGUCACUUGUUAGCUUAGAGACGUGAAUCCUGCUUGAGAUGCAGACACUUGAGAGAUUGUGACUGACAGGAUGAGACGAUGAGACAGUUUGUUGCCGCAACUCAACCUUAGUUCUUGAUUUAUCAGAAUGAUUUGGCACCGAGGCCUUAGCCACCAGUGGUAUCAAUUGCCUAGAUUGCUUCAUAGCAAGCUCUUCAAGUCGGUGAUUUGCUUGGGACACCUGGGAAAUAGUCUGAGCACAAGGAAGACCCUUAGCGACAGUUUCAGCCAUAUUAAGACAUCUGCCACUUGACUUGCUAAAAGUUGGAGAAGAAGGUCCAGAAGAGGCAGCUCGUUUCAUGGAAGAUAGACCAGAGUUAUCGUUACCGGCAACUGCGGUAGUGACUGCUAAUGCAGAUGCCAACUUGUUGACAGUAGUGCCUGACGGACUAGUUGGUAUACCCUGAGUCCUAGUACCCAAACCAGGAGAUCCGACACUUCCAAGGCCAGGUGAUGUUUGUCGUUUUUCAGUUACUAAGGGUCGGAUGCCACAUUCAAUUGCUUUAUCCGCAAGCACGCCAUUGUUGUCAGUUAGUUUGAUCUUACCAGCAUUGCUCAAAUUCCUAGGCCAUUUCUCACUAAUUCUACCAGAAGUCAUUGAAGGUGACUGUCUUAACCCUUCCUCAAAUAUUUCCAAGUGAUGUUUCCUGGAAUUAUCGGAAAAGUCCCUAGACCUAUGAUUUCUUAAAGUUGAUGUCUCCCGGUACUUGCUAAUGUCUUUAUCCAUGUCUCUGUGAUGAUUUCUAAAAUUAUUAUAAGAUUGAAAGUUAAGGGAGUUACUACUGUUGGAGCUCCACCGAGUCCGUGAAGAGAUGGCUCGAUCAGAUGAAGAACCAGGACACCUCCACUCUUUAUUGUCCGUAUUCACUGACAGUGAUCUCUUGUGUGCAUGUUUUGAUGGGGCUGCAUCAUCUGGAUGCAACCGGGAUGAUGCGGAGACGAAGCUUGUCGCAUGUUUACCGCUCCUUAACCAUUGUGGGGCUAAUGUAGGUUCACUUGUUUCCAUCCUAACCUAUUUU